rnacentral:tRNA from 1 species
UUACAAUUAAGAUAUAUAAUCUAAGGAUUUGUGGCAUCCUAAAAGCUCUUAGCAUGUAAC